UGGCUACAAUGGGUUAAAAAAGAAGCUAUUCUUUAUAUUGAGAGCAAAAGGUUUAAUCUGCAUUGGUUGCAGAGAACACACCAUAGCUGCUAGAGGAAAUUUUGUGAUUAAUGGAAGAAGCAUGAUUUGAAGGGACGGAGUGGUCCUGCAAAGGUGAAAUGUCAUUGGGCAUUGGGGAUUGAUCAUCCAUAUUGGUGUCAAAGAUUGGGUGCAUAAUUAUCUUCCACAAAGGAGUAUGGUUGUGAAUGUUUCAAUGGCACUGUGAAUUAUUUAUUCAAAUCCAUGAAAGUUGGGAAAAUGAAGCAGGGAUUGGAAGUGACACAGAUGGAGUGGUCCUGCAAAGGUGAAUUGUCAUUGGGUAUUGGGGAUUGAUCAGCCAUGUUGGUGUCAAAGAUUGGGUGCAUAAUUAUCUUCCACAAUGGAGUAUGGUUGUGAAUGUUUCAAUGGCACUGUGAAUUAUUUAUUCAAAUCCAUGAAAGUUGGGAAAAUGAAGCAGGGAUUGGAAGUGACACAGCUGCAGAGUAGCAACUCAGACAACUUCCUCUACAUCCAUAACAAAUUUCAUUGCACGAGCAAUUGCAGGUGGACCCUGAAUGUUCAAAUUUGAUAUAGGGCCUCGGCUGUUGUGAUUGCAAGUGAAAUGGUUGGUCUGGAUAACUAGCUGGUGAAUUGCUAUUGCCAAACAAUUUUUGAGAUUUUGCUGGUGGAUGGUGAUUGGAAAUGUACUGGCAACUAUUUGUAGAAAUGACUGAGGCUGAAGAAUAAAAUGAGCGAUUGGGCAUAGGCACCGGAGGGGUAGAUUACCAGUUAAUGCAGAAUCGCAGAAAAAACAAGUAGUGGGGGAAAAUGUAUAUCUUGUGUUGAACCUACAGGUUGAAAAGGCAUCUUAUGUUGAGCAGAAUAAUGUUUGUAUUUGUAAGAUAAGAAAAUCAAAAAAUUGAUUUUGGCAUGAUUAAAACAUGCAUAUGGAAUAGGCAGGUGAGGUACGCUACAAUGUGCAAUUAGCCUUGGAGGCUUGUCAAAGCAAUGACCUGGACAUGCUUGUGUGCCCCAAAGUUGUGGACAAGCAUACAAAGAUCUGAUUCCUGUGCUUGUCUGACAGGUAAGCUGUGCAACUAGGUGUUUGAUGGUUGCCUCUGACAAAAGAAUGUUCAAGCAGGAUUGUUUAAUUGACACAUGGCAUUAUGGGGAUGAAAAGAAGGAUGAGUAAAAGUUAAUCCUUUCUCAGGAUGGAGAAAGCACUUUGAACUGUGUAUGAUGGACACAAUUUUCGAUUGUGUUCUGCCAAAUAAUUAUGGAGUUUGAUGUGAUGGGUGUUAAAUAUACAUGGUAUCAAUUCUCCAUUUUGCUUCUGCAAUUCACAUAAGUUGUUCUCAUAUUUGUUGUUUCAUCUGAUUGGUUGAGUUUGCAAGGCACAGUUUUAAAGAGUGCUUAUCACCUUACCAGUUGGUUGUGACAAUUAGUAAUGAUGAAUUAUGAAACUUCUGUUUCAUAGCCAUUUUGCAACUUUUACAUGCCACUGACGUGCCAAAGUACAUUCGAGAUGUUAGUAAAUUGGGUUGUUGAAGGGGGUACAAAAGUAUUUUUUCUGCAAUGAUUUAUCAGUUUAUGAGUUAUGCCAACAAUGACUGUAUCAACAUUUUAUGUAUCACAAACAAUCUGAAUCUCGAAGAGUGUACUGAAAGUGAAUGGCUGUUAUUAAGGAAAUUUCGUGUAGUGUCUGCUUCAUGUGCUUUUCUUGCAAUGACUUUAGGCGACUUACCGAAGGUAUCAAGUGUAACAAGAAUACUUAUAUUGAGGUCAAGAGUAUUUCAUCAAUGACAACAUAUGAUGAAGUUUAAUCAUUACAAUCAUCAUCAAGCCAACACAUCCAAGCACAUCAUCAUCAUGAAGGUGAGAAUGGAAUAUUGUCUUUCUGCCAGGAGACACAUAAUGAUAUUUUCGUAGUCCAGACUUAUUGAAGGUUCUGCCAGUGUCUAGUUUGGUUUGAAGGAGACCUUGUGCAUGGGGCAGUCACCGUCUCUUUCUUCUUUCUAUAUUCUUUCAAAAAGUACAUCAUCAUCAUGAAGGUGAGAAAGGAAUAUUGUCUUUCUGCCAGGAGACACAUAAUAAUAUUUUCGUAGUCCAGACUUCAUCCUCAUUUUGCCUCACAUUGUGAGGUCUUCACUAAAGCCCUUUUUAUUAUACUAACUAUUAAUUUCCUCAUAAAUGAAAAUUUUUAUAGUGAAAUUUUUGGAUGUAAAGUGUGAGAGUUUUUGUGCAGGGCUACCUUAGCAUACAUUAACAUUUUUUGAGCACAAGUGGCAUCGCCUAAUCUCUUGCAUGAACAGUGACAUGUUCUUCUCAUAGGGUUUUAUCUUCUUAAAAAUGCCCACCGCGUGCUUUAUAUUUUUGAAUUUUCUGCCUUGAAUUAGUUGAGUAUGCGAUAUUAACUUGUUUCACCAAAUGAGUUCCUUAGUUGCUAGAAAAGAGACCAUUGAGGCACUAGAGUGGGAUUGUUGGUAAAAUCGGCAGCUAUAUGUAAUUUUUAGCUUCUAUUAUUGCUAAUGUUUAGGGAGUGCAUGGUAUUUUUCAUUGCUUGAAUUAUUGAAGCUACAAAUAUGAAAUUUCUGUUCAUUUUUGUUGUAUGAUCUGGCAACAUUUAUGAUUGGUUGAUGCUCAUUGUACUGGCCUGAACAGUUAAAAAUAGAGGAUCUGAAAUUCCUGUAUUGGCAUCCUUUCCAGUUGGUCUCUAUUAUAGUGAUCUUUUAUUAGUAUUUACAUCGAUAAAUUAUUAAUAUAUGGCUGGUGUUUAGUCCAAUUUAAUGGUGACUUGAUGUCUCACUUAUAUUUUGUAUUAUUUGGAUUUGGAUUGGGAAGCAAGAAAUUUCGAGAUGUAUUUUUUGUGUGACAAUAAUAUCCCCUUUUAAAAAUCUUGGUUGUAUAUGGAUAGUUGAAGUUUAAUUCUUCAUCCUGUU